rnacentral:rRNA from 1 species
GAUGAACGCUAGCUACAGGCUUAACACAUGCAAGUCGAGGGGAAACGACAUCGAAAGCUUGCUUUUGAUGGGCGUCGACCGGCGCACGGGUGAGUAACGCGUAUCCAACCUGCCCACCACUUGGGGAUAACCUUGCGAAAGUAAGACUAAUACCCAAUGAUAUCCCACGAAGGCAUCCGAAUGGGAUUAAAGAUUUAUCGGUGAUGGAUGGGGAUGCGUCUGAUUAGCUUGUUGGCGGGGGUAACGGGCCCGACCAAGGCGACGAUCAGUAGCCGGUCUGAGAGGAUGAACGGCCACAUUGGAACUGAGACACGGUCCAGACUCCUACGGGAGGCAGCAGUGGGGAAUCUUCCGCAAUGGGCGAAAGCCUGACGGAGCAACGCCGCGUG